GGGGCUGUACCGGAUUCGAUGGGGAAGCGGGUACGGGAUAAGCACGCCGAAGGCUCGUCUUCGUAAAAACGGAAAAUUAAAUUUAAACGCAAAUAACAACAAAGAAUUGGCUUUCGCUGCCUAAUCGGCCGUAGCCUGUCGCCCCAAGAAUCCACGGCUUGGGAGUCGGCAUCAAUCAGUGGAACAGGGUCGGGCGCACACGCCUUUACCGUCCGACAAUAUUAAAGGCUUGCCGAAGCGUCUCUCCGUGAAUAGAGGGCGUCAGGGACUAAUAUAUGUUCAAUAAGCGUGUAGAAAGUGUCGUAUGAACUUUUUCAGACAGGGGUUCAACUCCCCUCAGUUCCACCA
rnacentral:tmRNA from 1 species